UACGGGGGGGGGCAAGCGUUUGUUCGGAAUUACUGGGCGUAAAGCGCACGUAGGCGGCUUUGUAAGUUAGAGGUGAAAGCCUGGAGCUCAACUCCAGAACUGCCUUUAAGACUGCAUCGCUUGAAUCCAGGAGAGGUGAGUGGAAUUCCGAGUGUAGAGGUGAAAUUCGUAGAUAUUCGGAAGAACACCAGUGGCGAAGGCGGCUCACUGGACUGGUAUUGACGCUGAGGUGCGAAAGCGUGGGGAGCAAACAGG
rnacentral:rRNA from 1 species